AAUGGGGGAAACCCUGACGCAGCAACGCCGCGUGGGUGAUGAAGGCCUUCGGGUCGUAAAGCCCUGUCGGGAGGGAAGAAAUGAUUGAGAGCUAAUACCUCUUGGUCUUGACGGUACCUCCGAAGGAAGCACCGGCUAACUCCGUGCCAGCAGCCGCGGUAAUACGGAGGGUGCGAGCGUUGUUGGGAUUAUUGGGCGUAAAGCGCGUGUAGGCGGUCUUUUAAGUCUGAUUUGAAAGCCCCGGGCUCAACCGGGAACGUGCAUUGGAAACUGGGAGACUUGAGUACGGGAGAGGAGAGUGGAAUUCCUGGUGUAGGGGUGAAAUCCGUAGAUAUUAGGAGGAACACCGGUGGCGAAGGCGGCUCUCUGGACCGUUACUGACGCUGAGACGCGAAAGCGUGGGUAGCAAA
rnacentral:rRNA from 1 species